GAUGAACGCUGGCGGCGUGCUUAACACAUGCAAGUCGAACGGAAAGGCCCAAGCUUGCUUGGGUACUCGAGUGGCGAACGGGUGAGUAACACGUGGGUGAUCUGCCCUGCACUUCGGGAUAAGCCUGGGAAACUGAGUCUAAUACCGGAUAGGACCACUUCUUGGAUGUUGUGGUGGAAAGUUUUUUCGGUGUGGGAUGAGCUCGCGGCCUAUCAGCUUGUUGGUGGGGUAAUGGCCUACCAAGGCGUCGACGGGUAGCCGGCCUGAGAGGGUGUACGGCCACAUUGGGACUGAGAUACGGCCCAGACUCCUACGGGAGGCAGCAGUGGGGAAUAUUGCACAAUGGGCGCAAGCCUGAUGCAGCGACGCCGCGCGGGGGAUGACGGCCUUCGGGUUGUAAACUCCUUUCGCUAGGGACGAAGCGUUUUGUGACGGUACCUGGAGAAGAAGCACCGGCUAACUACGUG
rnacentral:rRNA from 1 species